rnacentral:rRNA from 1 species
UGGGGAAUAUUGCACAAUGGAGGGAACUCUGAUGCAGCGACGCCGCGUGAACGAAGAAGGCUUUCGAGUCGUAAAGUUCUUUUAUAUGGGAAGAUAAUGACGGUAUCAUAAGAAAAAGCCCCGGCUAACUACGUGCCAGCAGCCGCGGUAAUACGUAGGGGGCUAGCGUUGUCCGGAAUCACUGGGCGUAAAGGGUUCGCAGGCGGAAAUGCAAGUCAGGUGUAAAAGGCAGUAGCUUAACUACUGUAAGCAUUUGAAACUGGAUAUCUUGAGAAGAGUAGAGGUAAGUGGAAUUUUUAGUGUAGCGGUGAAAUGCGUAGAUAUUAAAAAGAAUACCGGUGGCGAAGGCGACUUACUGGGCUCAUUCUGACGCUGAGGAACGAAAGCGUGGGUAGCAAACAGG